rnacentral:lncRNA from 1 species
GCGGCAGCUGGCUCUCAGGGGCAUGCAGGGAUGCUACCAGGAUGCUUGGCCGAUCUGUCUCUGAGAAUGUACCAGCCGCACAGAAGAGAAAUUAUAAAGAGGAAUUAUAAAACACCUUGGAGCAGAAGGAGGCAGAAACAUGCAGAGCAAAAGCUUCCUGGACGGCAAAAAGCAUCAUCGUCUCCUCCUCUCACCGAGGUGCUGGGGCGUUUCCUUCAGUUGCACCCGAGCAGCAGUUCAGAAGACACCACACAAGUGCAAGAGCACCUUCGUGAGGAGCAGGAGCUGCUGCCUGUCCUCCCAGCUGCACACACACACCAACAGUACCCACCAGAUGCAGUGCCUGGGCUAGGAGCCACACCAGGUUCACCUGCACAGCACAGGUCCAUACCCAGCUCAGGACUCCAUUCCUUCUUCUGCAAAACACACACAGAGCUGCUGUUAUGCAUCACCUUGAAGGGAAGCUGCGUUUGCCAGCACCCCAGACUCACCUGUGUGCUACAUGGCACUAGCUCCGCAUGCCGUGAGGAGACAGAGGCAUCUCCACCCUCGGCUCCUGGCAUGGCCAGGCCAGGAGAACGUCGUCCAAAGGAGGCUGGAAGCGGCUGCCCGAUUACCCAGAGAAGCCACCAGCAUGUGUUGCUGCAGCCACCCCCGGUGAGGCAGCUCUGGUGCUUGGAAGUCAGGGUGCAGACCCCGUGAGCACCCAUUAACCACCCUUUGGGUCAUAAUCCUUUCAGGGGAGACUCAGGAGGCUGGAGGUGGGGGUGGCGGCUGCCCACCAAGUGUUCCCCGCAGCCCUGGCAUGAGAGAUCUGCAAAGUCUUGAGUGUCUCAUUGCAGGACGAAACCCCACAGCCCUCUUUCCACAGAUAUGUGUAAUAUCAGCUCAGGGCCUGCAUUGUUUAGUUCUGCAGCCUGCGUGGUGGUCUUACUCUGCAAAUUAUCCAGCGUUACGGGCUGAAUAAACUCAGCCUAUGUCAAUCA